ensembl:lncRNA
CACCCCCCUUGCCUAUAUAAACCAAGAGUUUGUGGCAGUAAAGCGGAAAUGUUUAGAUGGAACCCUUGUGGGGUCUGAUUGUCUCUCGCUUGCCGAGGGGCUGGGUUGGCGGACAGCAGGCUCACCUCUCCUCAGGACCCAUCCACUUUGCUGAGGGAAGUUCCACUGCCUCUCUCUUUCUGUGGAGCGCCCCCCGUAUCCAUACUCAAAAGGAAUGUUGCUGAUUCAGUCUCCUGGAAGUUUGGUAUUCAUAUAGAUGGAAAGACCACUUGAAAUAAUUCAUGGUCCACCAAGGGUUUGAGGCUCUUUUUGCGGAGAGUUGAACCAUAAAGAAGGCUGGGUGCUGAAGAAUUGGUGCUUUCAAACUGUGGUGCUGGAGAAGACUCUUGUGAGUCUCUUGGACUGAAAGGAGAUCAAACCAGUCAAUCCUCAAAGAAAUCAGUCCUGAGCAUUCAUUGGAAGGACUGACGCUGAAGCUGAAACUCCAAUACUUUGGCCACCUGAUACAAAGAACUGACUCAUUUGAGAAGACCCUGAUGCUGGGAAAGAUUGAAGGCAGGAGGAGAAGGGGACGACAGAGGAUGAGAUGGUUGGAAGGCAUCACUGACUCAAUGGACAUGAGUUUGAGCAAGCUCUGGGAGAUGGUGAUGGACAGGGAAGCCUGGCGCGCUGCAGUCCUUAGGGUUGCAGAGUCGGAAACGACUAAGUGACUGAACUGAACUGAUGGGAAGAGUUGACUCACUGAAAAUAGAGGAGGACAGAGGAGUCUGGUGUACUUCUGUCCAUUGGGUUGCAAAGAGUUGGACAUGAAUUAGCAACUGAACAACAAAACAAUGGGAUCUUCCCAAUCCAGGGAUCAAAUCCUCCUCUCCUGCAUUGGCUGGCAAAUUCUUUACCACUGACCUACCAGGGAGGCCCACCAUCAGGUAACACAAAACUAAGUUAAAUUUAAACAAUUCUUGUUUUAAGGCACUCAAAAGUGAAAGUCUCUCAGUCAUGUCUGACUCUUUGCAA